rnacentral:rRNA from 1 species
GACGGAGGGUGCUAGCGUUGUUCGGAAUGACUGGGCGUAAAGGGCGCGUAGGCGGCUUUUCAAGUCGGGUGUGAAAGCCCGGGGCUCAACCCCGGAACGGCAUCCGAUACUGGGAGGCUUGAGACCGGGAGAGGAGGGUGGAAUAUCCAGUGUAGAGGUGAAAUUCGUAGAUAUUCGGAAGAACACCAGUGGCGAAGGCGGCUCACUGGCCCGGUACUGACGCUGAGAUACGAAAGCGUGGGGAGCAAACAGG